rnacentral:rRNA from 1 species
AGUGAACGCUGGCGGUAGGCCUAACACAUGCAAGUCGAACGGCAGCACAGUAAGAGCUUGCUCUUACGGGUGGCGAGUGGCGGACGGGUGAGGAAUACAUCGGAAUCUACUUUUUCGUGGGGGAUAACGUAGGGAAACUUACGCUAAUACCGCAUACGACCUACGGGUGAAAGCAGGGGAUCUUCGGACCUUGCGCGAUUGAAUGAGCCGAUGUCGGAUUAGCUAGUUGGCGGGGUAAAGGCCCACCAAGGCGACGAUCCGUAGCUGGUCUGAGAGGAUGAUCAGCCACACUGGAACUGAGACACGGUCCAGACUACUACGGGAGGCAGCAGUGGGGAAUAUUGGACAAUGGGCGCAAGCCUGAUCCAGCCAGACCGCGUGGGUGAAGAAGGCCUUCGGGUUGUAAAGACCUUUUGUUGGGAAAGAAAAGCAGCAGGUUAAUACCCCGCUGUUCUGACGGUACCCAAAGAAUAAGCACCGGCUAACUUCGUG